rnacentral:lncRNA from 1 species
UGGAAAUCUUUUAUUGUUAUCAUUCCAGGGAUCCUGCUUGACUGCUGCUCUCUGCAGCCCAGAGGUUCCAUGCCUGGGCUGUGCUCACAGGGCUCCUAACCGUGGCUUUCCAUGGGGGAACAGUGCAAGAUAGUUGGUAAAAGAGAGAAAUCAGAUGAAACUUGUUAAUUUGGCCCCUGCUUGUGGAGUGGGUGCUGUGAGGGAUGGAGGAUGCUGUGGGGCAGGAGCAGGCUUUGGGACAGGAACCAGCAGCACUUUCAGUGUUCCCUCAGCCAGGAUCAGGCCUGGGAGCUGCCGUGGGAUAAAACCAUCCCAGCAGAAGCAAGUUCUUUGUGCAUGUGAGUGUUUUGCCCGCUAGUUUGGUGCUGGUUCUAUGGUGGCAGGAGGAUGGGGCUGGGACAGAGCCUGCUCGCUUUGUCACCUCACAGAGCAGCACUCUCCCCUGCCUUCAUCGGGGGGCAGCAGCACCUCUCCCUGCACCCCUCAACCAACCCACCCCCCCCAAAUCCCCACCAUUCCCAGAUGGAUGCCCCUUGGGAGCAGGUCACAGGCUGGGUUUCGGGACCACGUGCUCUCACAUAGGGAUGCUCAGAGAACUCCCAGCCAGGGGUGACACUCGUGGCAGCUCAGCCAUCAGCCGUGGGGCUCCAUAGGGUCAUGACUGCUGGGUAUCCCCCUGGAAAAUCAAUCCCACCCAAGCACAGGGAUGUUUGCCGGGAGCCAGGCUGGGGUUUGCACUCCACUGAGCACUGUCCCAGUGUGGAACUGGUGAGUUCCUCCCCGGUCUCUGUGCUGAAGAGGAGCACGGGAGCUGGACAACCUUCAUCCCCCGGUGCUGACGGCUGGCCGCAGGCCCGGUGGCUUGGAAGCGCCUUUGGAAGCCAAAUCCCAGUGUCAGAAAUCUGGGAUAUUUUUAAGGGCUCUGGAAGAAAAACUUAAUUCCAGGGGUGUCAGCAGGAGAGACUUGGCCUUCAAAACAACAACAGCGCAGACGGAGCCUUCCCAGGGCUGGAGUGUGGGGCCCAGGGGCCACGGUGCUGCCCAUGGGAUGUGUCCCAUCACCCUGGAAGGGACCUGGAUGCCGCAGCCCACCCAGGACAUGGUUUUCAUGACCAGCAGCAACUUUUGCUGUGUUAAGCACAAGUUGUUUGUGGCUUUACCUGAGCACUGCUGGGGCUGCCCCAAAAUCCCCUUCCUGGAGGUGUGUGGCGCAUGGCCAGUUGCCAUCCACAGCAAUGGGAAAAGCGGGAAGCAAAGGGAAUCACUGGCAGGAGAUGGAGCAGGGCAUGGCAGGGACCCAAUGGCUGUGAUAUCCCCUUGCUGUGCCAUGGCUCUGGGGGACCCAGUGGUGGCCUGUGCCCCCCUGGGUGAGGACAGAGCUGAUG